rnacentral:rRNA from 1 species
CGGCGGACGGGUGAGUAACGCGUGGGUAACCUACCCUGUACACACGGAUAACAUACCGAAGGUAUGCUAAUACGGGAUAAUAUAGUUUGAGAGGCAUCUCUUAAAUAUCAAAGGUGAGCCAGUACAGGAUGGACCCGCGUCUGAUUAGCUAGUUGGUAAGGUAACGGCUUACCAAGGCGACGAUCAGUAGCCGACCUGAGAGGGUGAUCGGCCACAUUGGAACUGAGACACGGUCCAA